CAGGACUGUGGCUGAUGUUCAAGGGUUCCAGCCCAGAAUGCCCCCUCUAUGGAAUUAGCACCAUGUGUCCCUGAUGAGCCGGAGGAAUCCAAAACCCAGUCCUGGCAAGGACAACAGAGGCUGGAAACACGGGGAGAUGAUGCAGAACCUGAGGCUCAGAGAGGUCAGGCCAUUGACUUGAGGCUACACAGCUAA
rnacentral:lncRNA from 1 species